CGGGAAUUUUCUAUUGAUCUAAUUUUUCAACUCUUGUGGAAGGAUCCAUUUUGGUAUAAAAAUGGUGCUCUGAACGGCUGUUAACACAUUUGAUUUGAAAGUUUCGUCUAAAAGAAAUCUAAUAACUAUAGCAGAAAAUUUGAACAACCUAAGAUUUUGAGAAAGCAAUGUAAAGCAUUUCUUUAAAAUGAUAACACAACUUAAAGAAAUCAAAAACUUUUCCAAUAUAACAUUAGCCAUAGCCAUGCUUACAUCAAUUACAGAUAACUGGUUAUGAUGUUGGAUGCCAUUUCUUUUAACAAUAGGUUGUAACUGCAUGAAUCCCAAUUAUAAGCACACUAAACGUCUAAGUGUAUUCUAAGUCAUACACCAUGUAUAUAACAAAUUUUUAUAGAAAAUUGAUUAAAAAUAAUUUUACUCAUCUGUACUCUGUAGUUCCUAUGUAUUGCACAAACACUGCACCUGGACUGAAGACAAAACACUGCACUUGGACUGAAGACAAACACUGCACUUGGACUGAAGACAAACACUGCACAUAGACUCAAGACUUUAGACAUAAUAUCCAAGUUAAAUGGGACUAGGAACCACUGGAACUAGCUCCUUCAAAACAUAUUCAUUAUUGACCUCUAUAUUGAUGUUAUGAUGAAAUCAUGUUUUUGAUAGUUGCAUUGAUAAAUAAUCAUGCAUGAAAACAUUGGAUUGACUUUGACCCAAGACUUAUUAUAGUUUCUCCAGAGUAUAAAUGAGUUUGCCAAUUUUAAGUGUUUAGAAAAUUGAGUUUUAAUAUUUACCAAUUUGUGAAAUUUGAUAGCAUGGCUGAUGGCUGGUGCACUAAAAUGGAUUUUCAUAAUUGGCUGUAUUUUCACUGAUAAAAAAUUCUGAAAAAUUGUAACAGCAAAUAGCUUCUGUUUUAAGCAGAUAUAAAUUAAGAGCUUUUGUUAAAUUUCUUUAAUUUAUGUUGCCCUCCUUGAUGGAAGAAGACCCAUUCAUGGCAGAUAGCAAGAGUCAUAAUAUACCCAAAUAUGUUCCACUCCAACAAGAGGGAUUUCAUGGUGAAAAACUACCGGGAAGAGUCGCAUAUACCCAAAUAUGUUCCACUCCAACGAGAGGGAUUUCGUGGUGAAUAACACUCCGGGAUGAGUUGCAUAUACCCAAAUAUGUUCCACUCCAACGAGAGGGAUUUCGUGGUGAAUAACACUCCGGGAUGAGUCGCAUAUACAGCCUACAUAUGUUGUGCUACUGGACAAUGAAGAUUGUUUCAUGGUAGAUGGAUCCCACAUCAGAAUGUUUAGCAUGUAUGUAUUUGAUACAGCCAAAAUAUGUUAUACUCCUAGACAAUGAAGAUGCUUUCAUGGUAUACAACACUUGAGGAGUAUUGACAUAUGCAGCCUAUAUAUGUUACUCCUCUCCAAUGAAGAUAAUUUCAUUGUAGAUAGUGCAUUAGGAUACAUCACAUAUCCAGCCUCAAUAUGUUGGCACUCCUUUACCAUGAAAGAUGCUUGCAUUGUAGAUAACACAUAAGAAUGAGUUACAUAUACAGCCUCAAUAUGUAACACUCCUUUACCAUGAAAGCACAUUGGGACAAGUUGCAUAUUCAACUUAAAACAGAUGAUGUUUCAGUCGUAUCAGGUGCAGCAUGACAGCAAAACAGUUGAACUGAUUAUUGUGAUGAGACAGUUUAUUGCUUUGGAAAAUCUAAUUAUAUAGUUUAUAGAUUUAGAUAAUAAAAUUCUGUAAUGUUCAUAAUAUCAGAUCAUAAUUUGAUAAGUGCCCUCAAUAUGUCUUCAACAAGAUAUUAACAUGCACAAUUAAGGAUGUACUGUACAAAAUCUUCAACAUUCUUAUUCAUAAAAGUAGUUUCUGAUUCUCAAUUUUAUAAGAUAUAUACAUAUUGACCUGAAUUUAUUUUUAAGGUAAUUGUAACAAUAUGACUGUAUUUAGAUUGUUUGAAAUUCAAGUUGAGUGUCAAUUAUUUCUUUUCAAAAUAUAUAUAUCACAUUCUACUGGUUUCAAUUUUUGAAAUUUAAAAAUGAAAUAUAGCCAAACGAUCAGUUGAACAGUGGUGUUGGUUGAAGUUAAUACCAGCUCUUCAUAGUAUCUUAAAAUGCCUAAAAUGGAAACAAUGUUUAAAUUUAACAAGUUACCAUAUCUACUGAUGAAGAAAUUAGAAUAUUGUGUAUGUUCCUUUUUGUACAAAUGAACAUCUUUUGAGUAAUUGAUUGGAACACCCAAACAAUAAUUUAAUCAUUUGGGUUUUUUCUUGUAUAUCCAUCAUUGAUUUUGUAAGAUAAAAAUAAAAAAAGUCAUUUUGUUAAAAUAAUUUCUCACAAAUAAAAUUCUAUUAAACUAAUAGUUUAGUUCAUGCUCCUUUAAUCUAUAUCUUAAAAGUUUUGUGGUGGACUAAGAAAAUAUCAAAUGAUCAUUUCAGAAAUACACUUGAUUGCAGCGCUGCAUCUUCACUAACAUUUAACAUAGUUGGUUCUGGGUUUCUGAGCUAGUUCUUGUUGGUGUGUUUCUUUGUUUUUUCUAUAGAGGAAUCGGCGGUUUCUAAGUCUUCAGGAUAUGGUUUUGUCAUUCAAAGGGAACUCGCAAUCUUGCAAUGUAAUUCUGAAAUGAUAUACAUUUGAUAUUUUAUUUUCAUUGAAAAAGAAACAAUAUUAAAUUUGUUGCAUGAACAUUUGAACUAUUUAAACUUUAUAAUUCACAAUUUUUGGAAAUAAAAUUCAAAUUGUAACUGUCACAUUUUGGAAAUAAAAUUCAAAUUGUAACUGACACAUUUUGGAAAUUGAAUUCAAAUUGUAACUGACAGAUUUUGGAAAUAAAAUUCAAAUUGUAACUGACAGAUUUUGGAAAUAAAAUUCAAAUUGUAACUGACCAAUUUUGGAAAUAGAAUUAAAAUUGUGACUGACACAGUUUGGAAAUAAAAUUAAAUUUUAACUGACACAUUUUGGAAAUAAAAUUCAAAUUGUAACUGACCCAUUUUGGAAAUAAAAUUCAAAUUUUAACCGACACAUUUUGGAAAUCGAAUUCAAAUUGUAACUGGACACAUUUUGGAAAUAAAAUUCAAAUUGUAAAUGACCCAUUUCGGAUAUAGAAUUCAAAUGGUAACAUAGAUCACCAAUUUUGAAAAUUGUAACUGACAGUUUGGGAAUAUAAUUCAAAUUGUAACUAACACAUUUUGAUGGAUAGAAUUUUAAAAAUAAGAAAAUUUAUGUACUUAAUUUAAGCACAAGUGAAAACACAAUUCCAAAAUUUAUAUAAAUUUUUGCUUCAUUUGAUAAAUUGGAUUUGCAAAAUCACUGAUGGCUUACAAGGUUAAUUCCCUUAUUAGUUAGAUAAUGAAGUAUAGUCUAGUGGACCCUGUAGACAUCUUACUAAAUGUAUUGAUAUAUUAAAAGUUUGUUUAUAUCUCAAUCAAAAUUUGUACAUGCCUCGCACAAAAUGGUGCAAGCAGAGUUGCAUGUACUGGACAGAGUCAGCUAUCAACUUUUAUAUAACAAAACCAUUUCACAAUCAAUAUUUGUAAAUGCCUCACACAUAAAGGUGCAAGCAGAGUUGCAUGUACUGGACAUUGUCAGCUAUAGAGUAUUUUUAUAACAAACCACAGAACUGGUAUCCAGGAAAUUGAAAUGAAUCAACAAUACUGUUAUUUAUGUUUUACAAUAAAAUAUUUUUCUCAUUAUACCUUACUUAAGAUUUAAAGAUGUACUACAGUGUCAUAACACUACAACUUACAAUAUAUUUAUAAACUGUCACUUAGUAAUUUUGUAUCAUGAUGCAGAUGUUCGUCAUCAUAUUAUUUUAAACAUGGUGCAUUAAUUACUUUUUCUUUAUGUAUUAUGACGUAUGCUAUUUUUACUAAACUUGUAUUCAUGUUUAUUAUGCUGAUGAAAAUAAAAUAUGAUGUCUAGGCUA